rnacentral:rRNA from 1 species
GCCUGUAAGACUGGGAUAACUCCGGGAAACCGGGGCUAAUACCGGAUGGUUGUCUGAACCGCAUGGUUCAGACAUAAAAGGUGGCUUCGGCUACCACUUACAGAUGGACCCGCGGCGCAUUAGCUAGUUGGUGAGGUAACGGCUCACCAAGGCGACGAUGCGUAGCCGACCUGAGAGGGUGAUCGGCCACACUGGGACUGAGACACGGCCCAGACUCCUACGGGAGGCAGCAGUAGGGAAUCUUCCGCAAUGGACGAAAGUCUGACGGAGCAACGCCGCGUGAGUGAUGAAGGUUUUCGGAUCGUAAAGCUCUGUUGUUAGGGAAGAACAAGUGCCGUUCAAAUAGGGCGGCACCUUGACGGUACCUAACCAGAAAGCCACGGCUAACUACGUGCCAGCAGCCGCGGUAAUACGUAGGUGGCAAGCGUUGUCCGGAAUUAUUGGGCGUAAAGGGCUCGCAGGCGGUUUCUUAAGUCUGAUGUGAAAGCCCCCGGCUCAACCGGGGAGGGUCAUUGGAAACUGGGGAACUUGAGUGCAGAAGAGGAGAGUGGAAUUCCACGUGUAGCGGUGAAAUGCGUAGAGAUGUGGAGGAACACCAGUGGCGAAGGCGACUCUCUGGUCUGUAACUGACGCUGAGGAGCGAAAGCGUGGGGAGCGAACAGGAUUAGAUACCCUGGUAGUCCACGCCGUAAACGAUGAGUGCUAAGUGUUAGGGGGUUUCCGCCCCUUAGUGCUGCAGCUAACGCAUUAAGCACUCCGCCUGGGGAGUACGGUCGCAAGACUGAAACUCAAAGGAAUUGACGGGGGCCCGCACAAGCGGUGGAGCAUGUGGUUUAAUUCGAAGCAACGCGAAGAACCUUACCAGGUCUUGACAUCCUCUGACAAUCCUAGAGAUAGGACGUCCCCUUCGGGGGCAGAGUGACAGGUGGUGCAUGGUUGUCGUCAGCUCGUGUCGUGAGAUGUUGGGUUAAGUCCCGCAACGAGCGCAACCCUUGAUCUUAGUUGCCAGCAUUCAGUUGGGCACUCUAAGGUGACUGCCGGUGACAAACCGGAGGAAGGUGGGGAUGACGUCAAAUCAUCAUGCCCCUUAUGACCUGGGCUACACACGUGCUACAAUGGACAGAACAAAGGGCAGCGAAACCGCGAGGUUAAGCCAAUCCCACAAAUCUGUUCUCAGUUCGGAUCGCAGUCUGCAACUCGACUGCGUGAAGCUGGAAUCGCUAGUAAUCGCGGAUCAGCAUGCCGCGGUGAAUACGUUCCCG